GGGGGCGUAAAGGUUUCGACAGGGACUUUGAACCGCCGGAAGCGAGCAGAGGUGCAGAGCCGCUUAAAAUCUGCAAUUAAAAAUUAACUGACAACAAUUCAGUUGCUCUUGCGGCUUAAUUAAGCCGCCGUCUGCAUUGAAAGGACCGCGGUUCUAUGCAGGCGUCAAACAGCGGUAAAUGUGAACGGCAUAUUGCCUUAUGUGCCGUCAUAACUUAAAGGCUACCGAAAAUACCGCUUUGAUAUUUGAGUGAUAUUUUCGGGAAAUCAAUCAAAUAUCUGCGCUCGGAGAUGCCGACGGGAAUUGGUUUUUGGACGGGGGUUCGAUUCCCCCCGCCUCCACCA
rnacentral:tmRNA from 1 species